rnacentral:rRNA from 1 species
UGAGGAAUAUUGCGCAAUGGGCGAAAGCCUGACGCAGCGACGCCGCGUGGAGGACGACGGUCUUCGGAUUGUAAACUCCUGUUAAGCGGAAAGAAAACCCAAUCUCUAAUACAGAUUGGAUAUGACGGUACCGCUAGAGAAAGCACCGGCUAACUUCGUGCCAGCAGCCGCGGUAAUACGGGGGGUGCAAACGUUAUUCGGAUUUAUUGGGCGUAAAGGGUGUGUAGACGAUUUAUUAAGUUCGUUGUUAAAACUUUCGGCCUAACCGAAAGCUUGCGGUGAAAACUGAUAGACUAGAGGGUGAGAGAGAGGAGUGGAAUUCUCGGAGUAGCGGUAAAAUGCGUAGAUCUCGAGAGGAACACCGAUGGCGAAAGCAGCUCCUUGGCUCAUUCCUGACGUUGAAACACGAAAGCGUGGGGAGCAAACAGG